CCAAAUUCCCUCUUCUCUCAAACACUCUCUAAAGCCACUCGAAACCCUAGCCUCAUGUCGUCGUCUCCGACCAAACACACCGGCGUCCAUGGCUUCCCACGCCAUGGACAACCUAUAUCCUCUUCCCUUCACCCCAAACCAUGAUUGUUCAGGGCUUUCGAGGUCCGAUCUUCAACAGACCUGUUCAGGUCCUCCGCCGACCUGUGUUCCUGUGGCUCCUCCAGCUCUGUUCCGGCAUGUUCAAGCUCUUAUAGGCCUAGCCAUGGCUCAUACUUACUCAAGACCAAAUCGUUCCUGGCCUUCUCAUUUAUAGGGUUUCUGAGAAACCCUAAAAGAGCUUGUUCGAG
rnacentral:lncRNA from 1 species